AAAGUCGUAACAAGGUUUCCGUAGGUGAACCUGCGGAAGGAUCAUUUGUGAGAUCAUAAACAUUAUCAAAGGAGGUUUUCAUUCAAAAAUGAUAAUUUCCUUUGAUAUGUUUAAAAAACAACCCAUUUGUGAACAUUGAUUUGUUGUUGUAGGCCUUGAUUUGGAGCGAGUGCUAUUAUCUCUCCAACAGGCCUUGUUAAAACAAAAUUGGUUAGCUUGUCUGAACAUGUCAAUAGACAUUAUAAAUAGAAAUGUACAACUUGCAGCGAUGGAUCUCUUGGCUCUG
rnacentral:misc_RNA from 1 species